AUUCCAGCUCCAAUAGCGUAUAUUAAUGUUGUUGCAGUUAAAAAGCUCGUAGUUGAAUUUCUGGUUAAAAUCUUAGCUGGCUUUGGUCGUUAAUGUUUUAAUCAUCCGUUAGAGAACUAUAACCGUCCUUAACUGGUCAUUAUAGAGAUCUAACAUUUUACUUUGAAAAAAUUAGAGUGUUCAAGGCAGGCAAUCGUCAUGAAUACUAUAGCAUGGAAUAAUGGAAUAGGACUUUGGUUCAUUUUAUUGGUUUACGGACCGAUGUAAUGAUUAAUAGGGACAGUUGGGGACAUUCAUAUUGCAUGGCUAGAGGUGAAAUUCUUGGAUUUAUGGAAGACAAACUAAUGCGAAAGCAUCUACCAAGGAUGUUUUCAUCA
rnacentral:rRNA from 1 species